rnacentral:lncRNA from 1 species
CAAUUAAAAUUCAGACGAAGAAAAAAGCUAAAACUCAAAAAGAAAAAUAAAAAAAUAAAGAUAAAAUAUUUACUUGUGUAUCUGAUUGAAAACAUUUAUCCGUUUCCAUGUUUCUUCUCCUGGUUGUCUUUCAGAUGGAUCAUCUCUGACGGAUCUCUGGAGGAAAGUCAACAGAAGUGAGAGUCUGCAGGAUCAGGUGAACACAGGUGAUAACUCCUCAAACUUUAAAGGAACCAACAGCUUAUUUAUUUACCUGAUGAUCACAGAACAGGAAGUAAAAAACGAUAAACAAGAACGGUGAAAGUCUUUGAGGAAGUUUGAGUGUCAACUUUCCUGGUUUCUGAGGAUCUUUUCUGUUCAGAGAUGAAGGAAAGACUGAAAUCUGGAGAGAAGCAGCUGGAGGAGCUUCAGACGCAGACAUCAGGUGAAUCACAUCUGGAAAAUGAAGAAACUGUCAAAGAUCUUUGGUUCUGACGGCUUCACUGAAUACAUAGAAUUAGAGUCUGACAGCAGGUUUGUUCAGCAGAUGUGGAGCUCCGACUGAGAUCCACUGAGACUCACCUGGAACAGCUGGAGGCUCACACUGCAGCUCUGGAGGUCACACUGAGAGUCAGAGAGGAGCAGCUGGAACACCUGGACUCACACACCUCAGUUCAGAUUUCCUCCAUUGAAUCCAGACUGACAGAUGGACUCAACAGAACUGCAGUUCAGAUUUCCUCCAUUGAAUCCAGACUGACAGAUGGACUCAACAGAACUGCAGUUCAGAUUUCCUCCAUUGAAUCCAGACUGACAGAUGGACUCAACAGAACUGCAGUUCAGAUUUCCUCCAUUGAAUCCAGACUGACAGAUGGACUCAACAGAACUGCAGUUCAGAUUUCCUCCAUUGAAUCCAGACUGACAGAUGGACUCAACAGAACUGCAGUUCAGAUUUCCUCCAUUGAAUCCAGACUGACAGAUGGACUCAACAGAACUGCAGGUGAACAGAGUCUCAUGUUUCUGAACGGUUUAAUAGUCUGUGAAGGUUCUCCGUUCUCCAGGUUGAGCUAGCAUAUAGGUAGCUACACGCUAGCUCUUUUGACUAAUUUAGGCUUUUUUUAGGGUGUUUUGGAGUUUAGCUAAUAUUUCACCUACAUGCUAGCUGUUUUAGCUUAUCUAGGCUAUUUUUUUGUUUUUAGGCUUUUUUGGCAUUUAGCUAAUAUUUCAGCUACAUGCUAGCUUGUUCGACUAAUUUAGGCUUUUUUUGGGUGCUUUGGAGAAUGGCUAAUGUUUUAGCCUCAUGCUAGCUGUUUUAGAUAUGUACAGCUAUUUUUAAAUUUUUUAGGGUAUUUUGGAGUUUAGCUAAUAUUUCAGCUACUUGCCAGCCAAUUUAGCUAAUUUCUGCU